GACGAACGCUGGCGGCGUGCUUAACACAUGCAAGUCGAACGGAAAGGCCCUGCUUUUGUGGGGUGCUCGAGUGGCGAACGGGUGAGUAACACGUGAGUAACCUGCCCUUGACUUUGGGAUAACUUCAGGAAACUGGGGCUAAUACCGGAUAGGAGCUCCUGCUGCAUGGUGGGGGUUGGAAAGUUUCGGCGGUUGGGGAUGGACUCGCGGCUUAUCAGCUUGUUGGUGGGGUAGUGGCUUACCAAGGCUUUGACGGGUAGCCGGCCUGAGAGGGUGACCGGCCACAUUGGGACUGAGAUAAGGCCCAGACUCCUACGGGAGGCAGCAGUGGGGAAUAUUGCACAAUGGGCGGAAGCCUGAUGCAGCAACGCCGCGUGCGGGAUGACGGCCUUCGGGUUGUAAACCGCUUUCGCCUGGGACGAAGCGUGAGUGACGGUAAUGGGUAAAGAAGCACCGGCUAACUACGUG
rnacentral:rRNA from 1 species